AUUGAACGCUGGCGGCAGGCCUAACACAUGCAAGUCGAGCGAGCGGCGGACGGGUGAGUAAUGUAUGGGGACUGCCCGAUAGAGGGGGAUACCUACUGGAAACGGUGGCUAAUACCGCAUACUAUCGGAUAACCCAUAGGGGAUUAGCUAGUCGGUGGGGUAACGGCUCACCUAGGCGACGAUCUCUAGCUGGUCUGCGAGGAAGAUCAGCCACACGUGGACUGAGAAACGGACCAGACUCCAAGGGAGGCAGCAGUGGGGAAUAUUGCACAAGGGGCGCAAGCCUGAUGCAGCGAUGCCGCGUGUAUGAAGAAGGCCUUAGGGUUGUAAAGUGCUUGCAGCGGGGAAGCGUUACCCGCAGAAGAAGCACCGGCUAACUCCGUGCCAGGAGCCGCGGUAAUUC
rnacentral:rRNA from 1 species